UAAUUUGUAUAGGACAGAUCCUCAUUUAGUUAUGGUAGACCCAUACUUGAUUGCUCAUAAUCAACUGUUAUCGCAAGCUCGACUAUGUCAAGAUGUCUUGGCCAUUUUCAAGCAAUGAAAGACCAAUUGGCAUCUUCUUCAGCUUCUGACAAUUU
rfam:Populus trichocarpa scaffold_31_contig_17, whole genome shotgun sequence.